UACUGUCAACCUGUACAUAUUAUACUAUUUUGUUUACUAUUUUGUUCCCUCAUUGGCUACUAUUUUGUUCUUAUUUUUUGCAUAGGUGAAAUGUGAAGCCAAACGUGAAGUCGUGAAGCUUAUAUGCAAAGAGUAGCAUAUCAUGUAUUGUGAUAGUAGGCUGUAGUAGGCAUAUUUGAGUUGUAGUAGUGUAAAGAUUGUAAUAGAC
rnacentral:lncRNA from 1 species